UACGUAGGGUGCAAGCGUUUGUCCGGAAUUAUUGGGCGUAAAGAGCUCGUAGGCGGUCUGUCGCGUCUGCUGUGAAAACUCGGGGCUUAACCCCGGGCCUGCAGUGGGUACGGGCAGACUAGAGUGCGGUAGGGGAGACUGGAAUUCCUGGUGUAGCGGUGAAAUGCGCAGAUAUCAGGAGGAACACCGGUGGCGAAGGCGGGUCUCUGGGCAACAACUGACGCUGAGGAGCGAAAGCGUGGGGAGCGAACAGG
rnacentral:rRNA from 1 species